rnacentral:rRNA from 1 species
UACGUAGGGACCAAGCGUUGUUCGGAUUUACUGGGCGUAAAGGGCGCGUAGGCGGCGUGGUAAGUCACUCGUGAAAUCUCUGAGCUCAACUCAGAACGGCCAAGUGAUACUGCUGUGCUAGAGUGCAGAAGGGGCAAUCGGAAUUCUUGGUGUAGCGGUGAAAUGCGUAGAUAUCAAGAGGAACACCUGAGGUGAAGACGGGUUGCUGGGCUGACACUGACGCUGAGGCGCGAAAGCCAGGGGAGCAAACGGG